AUGCCGCCGCCCCCCGCCCGCCGGCUCGGAUUGGCGGCGCCCUGCCCGGUGGCCACCGCGCAGUCGGCGAAGCCGGCGAAGGGACGAGGAGCCAACGUCAAACGGACGGCCAACCGCAGCCGCAAGCCGGCCGACAGUUCUACGCGGCCGUUGAAGCUCUCAAAGGCGGCCGCGGCGGCUCGGGGCGACGAGUCGCAGACGGUGCGGACGGCGGCCUCCUCUAGCAGCCACACCUCCAUUCCUCCACCUCCCCCGCCGCCACCGCCGGCCGUGGAGGAAGAUGUGGCCACGCCGACGGCCACUGCCUCCAACAUGUUCGACGAAAUUGUUGAUGAUGAAGCUUUCAUGCACGCAACAAAUGUGGCAAAUGAUGAUUACAUAUAUGAGUCACAAGAAUAUGAAACCCAAUAUGAUGAUGACAAUCUUGAUAUGGAUGAUGAGGGCUUCAUUGCCAAGGGAAGAAGUGGCAAUUAUAGCACCGUGGAGGAUGUGUUGAUAUGCACCGCUUGGAAGAAAAUCUCUCAAGAUGCAAGCGUUGGAAGUGACCAAACGAAAAUGAUUGCACAAGGAUUGUUUCGGGAGAGGAACAUGAAAGGCGAGAAGAAGAGAAGGAAAGGAAAAGCUUUCACUUUUCAUCAUUGCUACAAAGAGCUCAAGGAUGUGGAGAAGUGGAAAACUAGAGAGACUUUUGAAUCGUCGAAGAAGAAGAGUGUGUUGGUUGAGGAUGAAGAAGAUGACGCCAUUGAAGAGACGACCCCCACUCCUAACUCCGCGAGAAAAUCUUAUAGGCCCGAUGGAACCAAGAAACUCAAGGAAAUAGAGGAGAGGAGUGAGGCCGAGCGGCGAAGGGCGGCGACCGAGGAGAAGAGGGCGGCAGCCGAGGAGAGGUUGGCCGCGGCCGAGGAGAGGAAGGUGGAACUAGAGGAGAAGAAGGCCGCGGCCGACGAGAGGAAGAUGGUAGAAGAGAGGACACUCAAGUUUAUGUUCAUGGACACAUCAACUCUUGAUGCCAAGGCAAAGGCAUAUGUUGAACUUUGUCGCGAUGAAAUGCUCAUGAAGAAGCAAAUGCUCAUGAGGCAAAUGAUGAUGGAAGGAGGCAUGGGAGAUGCCAUGGGUGGAGCCAUCGGUGGUGCCAUGGGAGGUUACAUGAACAUGAUUGGAGGUGCCAUGAUUGGUGCAUUUGGCGGAAACAUGGGAGGUGGCUUCGGUGGCAUGGGAGGUGGCAACAUGGAAGGUGGCUUUGGCGGCAUGGGAGGUGGCUUUGGCGGCAUGGGAGGUGCUUUUGGUGGCAAGAUGAUGGGUGGCUAUGGCAGCAACAUAAGUGGCGUUGGAGGUGGAUAUGGCGGCAACAUGGGACCCAAUGAAGAUGGUUCCGGUGGUGCUCACGGCAACGAGAGUUCACCGCUUGUUGAGAACGUCGACAAAGACGGUGAUGGAGAUGAUGAUCGUACCACGGUUCACAACACCGGUGGUGUUGAUGACCCGAAUGAGUGA
rnacentral:rRNA from 1 species